UGACGGUACCUGACUAAGAAGCCCCGGCUAACUACGUGCCAGCAGCCGCGGUAAUACGUAGGGGGCAAGCGUUAUCCGGAUUUACUGGGUGUAAAGGGAGCGUAGGCGGUCUUGCAAGUCAGAAGUGAAAGCCCGGGGCUCAACCCCGGGACGGCUUUUGAAACUGCCGGACUGGAUUUCAGGAGAGGUAAGCGGAAUUCCUAGUGUAGCGGUGAAAUGCGUAGAUAUUAGGAGGAACACCAGUGGCGAAGGCGGCUUACUGGACUGACAAUGACGCUGAGGCUCGAAAGCGUGGGGAGCAAACAGGAUUAGAUACCCUG
rnacentral:rRNA from 1 species